rnacentral:lncRNA from 1 species
AUGCAUCAUGAUUUCUGUUCAGUGGAUGGUAAAGUUUAUCUAGGUUAUCUUGGAAAAAUGGCAACAAAACUUAAUUGGAAUGGGCUUUCGCUACUAAGGACCACUCUGAAGUGUGUAGGUUGCUAGAAAUCCUCCCGACUUAGCUUUUUUUGAAUUUGAACCCAAGAUGCGGCUGAAGCUGUAUGAGAGCUAGAUGGAAGAUCGCUGUGUAGCUGCCCUGUGAGUAGAAAUGAUGGCCCACCUAUCUCUUGGGACUGUCACCCUCGAGAUGAUCAUCGUAGGAGUCCUCCACCUCUCCGCAGAUGUCCAAGAAGGAAAAGCUUCUCUCACAGGGGGAGUAUCUUCUUUUCUAGAGAUAGGAGAAAACACAGAGAUCACUGUCUUGGGAGAGAAAUCACAAGCCGUCCCGAUCCUUCUCUAGGUCUCAGUCAGUUUAAGUUGAAUGAAAGGAAA